rnacentral:rRNA from 1 species
UACAGGGGGGUGCAAACGUUGCUCGGAAUCAUUGGGCGUAAAGCGCACGUAGGCGGUCUGUUAUGUCGGAUGUGAAAGCCCUUGGCUCAACUGAGGAAGUGCAUCCGAAACUGGCAGGCUAGAGUACUAAAGAGGAUCGCGGAAUUCCCGGUGUAGAGGUGAAAUUCGUAGAGAUCGGCAGGAACACCCAAGGGGAAGCCAGCCGACUGGCCCGCACCUGACACUCAGGGACGACAGCGUGGGGAGCGAACAGG